CCUACGGGAGGCAGCAGUGGGGAAUCUUGCGCAAUGGGCGAAAGCCUGACGCAGCCAUGCCGCGUGAAUGAUGAAGGUCUUAGGAUUGUAAAAUUCUUUCACCGGGGACGAUAAUGACGGUACCCGGAGAAGAAGCCCCGGCUAACUUCGUGCCAGCAGCCGCGGUAAUACGAAGGGGGCUAGCGUUGCUCGGAAUUACUGGGCGUAAAGGGAGCGUAGGCGGAUAGUUUAGUCAGAGGUGAAAGCCCAGGGCUCAACCUUGGAAUUGCCUUUGAUACUGGCUAUCUUGAGUUUGGGAGAGGUGAGUGGAACUCCGAGUGUAGAGGUGAAAUUCGUAGAUAUUCGGAAGAACACCAGUGGCGAAGGCGACUCACUGGCCCAAUACUGACGCUGAGGCUCGAAAGCGUGGGGAGCAAACAGGAUUAGAUACCCUGGUAGUCCACGCCGUAAACGAUGAGUGCUAGUUGUCGGCAUGCAUGCAUGUCGGUGACGCAGCUACGCAUAAGACACUCCGCCGUCGGGAGGUACGGUCG
rnacentral:rRNA from 1 species